rnacentral:lncRNA from 1 species
GUCCGAUUUUACUCUAGCAAAGACAUUUGCCUCCUUCAGAGGUCUGGCGAUCAGAAUCAGGUCACCAAGCUUGGCAGUGAGCAUCUCUACCGGAUGAGGCAUUUUGUCAGACCUGAAACACUUUGAAGAUAGAAUCUUACUGUGUAGCCUGGGUCUGGCCUCCCAUGGGUGCACUUCAGCUUCCUGCCUCAGCCUAGCAGGCUGCUCUGUCACCAUCUGCCACCACCAGGUGUAUGCUGCUGAUAAAAGGGCCCCUGCCACCUGGAGUUUGCUCAAACUCACUCUCUCUCUCUCUCUCUCUCUCUCUCUCUCUCUCUCUUCUAUAUCUCUCUGUCUCCCCGUCUGCGUGGCAACUUCUCUGGCCUCAUGGCCUCAUUCUCUGAGAAUGGUAAACUUGCUCAGAGCUGUUCCCAAAUAAAUUUGCUUUUAUACUUUUAAUUUUGGCUUGAAUCAGC